UACGGGGGGAGCAAGCGUUGUUCGGAUUUACUGGGCGUAAAGGGCGCGUAGGCGGCCCGGUAAGCAGGGGGUGAAAUAUCCCAGCUUAACUGGGAGGGUGGCAUUGAUACUGCGGGGCUAGAGUACAGAUGAGGUAGGCGGAAUUGACGGUGUAGCGGUGAAAUGCUUAGAUAUCGUCAAGAACACCUAUAGCGAAGGCAGCUUACUAGGCUGUAACUGACGCUGAGGCACGAAAGUGUGGGGAUCAAACAGG
rnacentral:rRNA from 1 species